GUGGAGCAGCGUGGUGGGGUUGGGGGGAGACCACAAGCUGGAGCAGCGUGGUGGAGUUGGGGGGCAGACCACAAGGUGGAGCAGCGUGGGGCCAUUUGGGACACAGACGUGGAAGGAUGUGAAAAACAAAAUGGCCAACCUUGAGUCUUUAAUACAGGAAAAGCACAUUUUAGAACAAAGCUUUGAAAAAACAUUUAGAAGCUCACUGUCUCUCUGAGGUGUUCAGGGAAAAUAAGAACAAUUUAUAGUCUAUAGCAGGGACGUUCAACUCUGACCCCUGGAGGUCCAGAGCAUGCUGCUUUUCUGUUCUACCUGCUAAUUCAUUGCAACCACCUGAUGUCCCAGGUCUAAAUCAGUCCCUGAUUAGAGGGGAACAAUGAAACAAAGCAGUGGAACUGGCUUCCAGGUUCAGAGUUGAGUUUGAGGGCCUUUCUUUCUUCAGACCUGUAGGAC
rnacentral:lncRNA from 1 species